rnacentral:rRNA from 1 species
AGUGAACGCUGGCGGUAGGCCUAACACAUGCAAGUCGAACGGCAGCACAGUAAGAGCUUGCUCUUACGGGUGGCGAGUGGCGGACGGGUGAGGAAUACAUCGGAAUCUACUUUUUCGUGGGGGAUAACGUAGGGAAACUUACGCUAAUACCGCAUACGACCUACGGGUGAAAGCAGGGGAUCUUCGGACCUUGCGCGAUUGAAUGAGCCGAUGUCGGAUUAGCUAGUUGGCGGGGUAAAGGCCCACCAAGGCGACGAUCCGUAGCUGGUCUGAGAGGAUGAUCAGCCACACUGGAACUGAGGCACGGUCCAGACUCCUACGGGAGGCAGCAGUGGGGAAUAUUGGACAAUGGGCGCAAGCCUGAUCCAGCCAUACCGCGUGGGUGAAGAAGGCCUUCGGGUUGUAAAGCCCCUUUGUUGGGAAAGAAAAGCAGCAGGUUAAUACCCCGCUGUUCUGACGGUACCCAAAGAAUAAGCACCGGCUAACUUCGUG